rnacentral:tRNA from 2 species
GGUCCCGUAGCUCAGUAGGAUAGAGCACCAGAUUCCUAAUCUGGGGGUCGCGCGUUCGAAUCGCGCCGGGAUCACCA